AUCUGAGUGAGGCCUACCAGGCGACGACGGGUAGCCGGCCUGAGAGGGCGACCGGCCACACUGGGACUGAGACACGGCCCAGACUCCUACGGGAGGCAGCAGUGGGGAAUAUUGCACAAUGGGCGAAAGCCUGAUGCAGCGACGCCGCGUGAGGGAUGACGGCCUUCGGGUUGUAAACCUCUUUCAGCAGGGAAGAAGCGCAAGUGACGGUACCUGCAGAAGAAGCGCCGGCUAACUACGUGCCAGCAGCCGCGGCGG
rnacentral:rRNA from 1 species